rnacentral:rRNA from 1 species
AACGAACGCUGGCGGCAGGCUUAAUACAUGCAAGUCGAGCGGGCACUUCGGUGUCAGCGGCGCACGGGUGCGUAACGCGUGGGAACAUGCCCUUAGGUACGGAACAACACAGGGAAACUUGUGCUAAUACCGUAUAAUAUCUCCGGAUCAAAGAUUUAUCGCCUAAGGAUUGGCCCGCGUUAGAUUAGGUAGUUGGUGGGGUAAUGGCCUACCAAGCCGACGAUCUAUAGCUGGUCUGAGAGGAUGAUCAGCCACACUGGAACUGAGACACGGUCCAGACUCCUACGGGAGGCAGCAGUAAGGAAUAUUGGACAAUGGGCGAAAGCCUGAUCCAGCCAUGCCGCGUGAGUGAUGAAGGCCUUAGGGUUGUAAAGCUCUUUUAGAUGGGAAGAUAAUGACUGUACCAUCAGAAUAAGCCCCGGCUAAAUUCGUGCCAGCCGCCGCGGUAA